rnacentral:rRNA from 1 species
GACGAACGCUGGCGGCGUGCCUAAUACAUGCAAGUAGAACGCUGAAGAGAGGAGCUUGCUCUUCUUGGAUGAGUUGCGAACGGGUGAGUAACGCGUAGGUAACCUGCCUUGUAGCGGGGGAUAACUAUUGGAAACGAUAGCUAAUACCGCAUAACAAUGGAUGACACAUGUCAUUUAUUUGAAAGGGGCAAUUGCUCCACUACAAGAUGGACCUGCGUUGUAUUAGCUAGUAGGUGAGGUAAUGGCUCACCUAGGCGACGAUACAUAGCCGACCUGAGAGGGUGAUCGGCCACACUGGGACUGAGACACGGCCCAGACUCCUACGGGAGGCAGCAGUAGGGAAUCUUCGGCAAUGGGGGCAACCCUGACCGAGCAACGCCGCGUGAGUGAAGAAGAUUUUCGGAUCGUAAAGCUCUGUUGUAAGUCAAGAACGGGUGUGAGAGUGGAAAGUUCACACUGUGACGGUAGCUGACCAGAAAGGGACGGCUAACUACGUG